AUGACUGCAGCCACAAGCCGUGCCUUCUGGAGAUGGAACCACAAAUACAUUCUGCCCAAGAAAUCCAACAUGGCCGGAACCCUGCAUGUGCUGUUUGGAUUGAGUUUGUUCUUCUACGUUAUCAACUACCCAAGAAUCAGUAAGUUUUUCCA
rfam:Asian citrus Psyllid, Diaphorina citri - Florida Strain, whole genome shotgun sequence.